GCCCCUGUGGCGGAAUUUGGUAGACGCACGGGACUUAAAAUCCCGAGGCCCGAAAGGGCCGUGCCGGUUCGAGUCCGGCCGGGGGCACCA
rnacentral:tRNA from 1 species